rnacentral:rRNA from 1 species
UACGAAGGGGGCUAGCGUUGCUCGGAAUCACUGGGCGUAAAGGGUGCGUAGGCGGGUUUUUAAGUCAGAGGUGAAAUCCUGGAGCUCAACUCCAGAACUGCCUUUGAUACUGAAAGUCUUGAGUAUGGGAGAGGUGAGUGGAACUGCGAGUGUAGAGGUGAAAUUCGUAGAUAUUCGCAAGAACACCAGUGGCGAAGGCGGCGAUCUGGGAAGAUACUGACGCUGAGGUGCGAAAGCGUGGGGAGCGAACAGG